CAGUUCUGAGGUGUCUUGGUAUCCCAACUCGGAGCGUAACAAAUUUCCCAGUCCGCCCACGACACUGAUGUCUCCUUGACCACUGAUGUGUAUUUUGACGAGAAUAUGGAGCCAAUUAACUCCCUCAACUCCGAUUCCGUGUGGAACUUCCAUGUGUGGAACGACUGCUGGAUGGCUCGUCCUGAUUUGCCACCCGGUAUGGGAGGCUGGCAGGCUGUUGACUCGACCCCCCAGGAAACCAGUCAGGGGACGUUCCGCUGUGGCCCCGCCUCCAUCAUGGCAAUCCGCACGGGCCAGGUUACUUGAAGCACGACACACCUUUUGUCUUCGCUGAGGUGAACAGCGAUAAGAUCUACUGGCAGAGGAACCUGGAUGGCACUUUCUCUCAGAUUCACAUAGAGAAGAACGCUGUGGGACGCUGCAUUAGCACCAAGGCUGUUGGCUCUGAUCAGCGUAGUGACAUCACACACCUGUACAAA
ensembl:lncRNA